rnacentral:rRNA from 1 species
UACGAACUGUGCGAACGUUAUUCGGAAUCACUGGGCUUACAGGGUGCGUAGGCGGCUAUUCAGGUCAGGUGUGAAAGCCCCCGGCUCGACCGGGGAACUGCGCUUGAAACCGAGUGGCUCGAGUCAGCUAGAGGUACACGGAACUUCCAGUGGAGCGGUGAAAUGUGUUGAUAUUGGAAGGAACACCGGAGGCGAAAGCGGUGUACUGGGGCUGGUCUGACGCUGAGGCACGAAAGCCAGGGGAGCGAACGGG